GCCAGCAUGCAGUACGAAGAAUUUGGUUACAACGAGCCAGUGGGCUACGAUCCGGCAGACCCCGGGCUGUCGCCGUACGAUGAGGAACCAAAGGAGCCACGGUCCUCAGGCAGCGGUAUGUGGCUCACCACAGUGGUAUUGUGCACGGUAAUCUUUCUCCUCAUCGGCAGUUCCGUAGCCGCAGUAAUACUCAUUCGCAACUUUGG